CCCUGCAUCUGCCGGUGCCCGCCGCCGCCGACCGCACCCAGCGCCUCCAUGCGCGGGCUCGCGCUCGUGCCUCCCCACCGCCCCGCGCCGCCGGCCACCGGAGCGCCGCCGUCGGACGAGCGCGCCGCCAUGCCCUCUCUCCUUCUUCCCUCCCCUUCAUCCAGUUCUAUCUCUCACCUCCCUCUCUCUCUCUUUUGCAGGAAGCGGAAGCCAUGGCCGCCGGACCGCCGCCCCGCGCCGGCCGGCCAUCGGAGCGCCGCUGCCGGACCAACGGGCUUCCCUGCCAUCCCCUCCUUCUCCCCCUCCCUCCGGUUCUAUCUCUCACCUCCCUCUCUCUCUCCUUUGCAGGAAGCCAUGGCCGCCGGACCUCCAUGCCUCCGCGAGCUCGCCGCCGGCCUGUGACCUCUACGCUGCCUCCAGUCCUCUCCGGACUCCUCCGUCGUAUUCUUCUCAUUCUCCGACGCUGCCAAGUUCGCCCGAGGAAGAAGCGGGGAGUUUGCCGGAGGAACAAGAAUAUCCGUCCAGCCGUCCAUUGUCGCCUGAGCUACACCAGAGGUGCCAAAGGUGUCCGAUCCAACUAAGGUGGAGGCCAAGGAGGUUUAGCUCUCGGACAUUGCACCAAUGACGCUGGAUAAUACCGAUAUGCAUACUGAAUUCGUCCAAGGAUCGUCGGAAGAUCAGAAUUGCGGCUAAUGUCCCUUAAGAGGAGUGUACGCAUUGUGCAAGCUGGGAGAAAAGAGACUCCAGUGGAGCUCCUCUUUCUCUCCAUCUCUCUCUCUCUCAAGAUUAUUAGGGAAGGAGCGAUGGAUUGGGGUGGGUAGUGCUCUAGAUUAUUCGGUGGCCCUCAGCGGCAGAUCCUUGAAAGAAAGUUAAAAGAAGCGAAAAAAUUGCAUACAACGUGUCAGCCUAGGAGUGAGCACCCACCAGCGCCUCAAAUGCAUGGCAUGGGCUAUAGCUUACCACUUUAAUUCUUUCAUAUAUUAGAAGUAGACAAAUGCAAAUGUCCAUAGUAAUAAACUUGUGGUCACAAGAUUGCUAGCUUAAAGUUUGCUAGAUUAUGUAAAUGGGUAAUUUUGUUGCCUGCUUUUUAGGUUUCCAUAGUAUGACUCAUUCUACAUAAUGGCAGGCAAGAAAAAAUAAAAUAGCUCGACUAUUCCAUGCACAACUAUUCUUUCAUCAAAUGAGACCGUGGAUCUGAAUUAGGUCCAGACAAAUGCCAUUAGGAUAUAAGAAGUGUUGUGUAAUGCCACACAGAGCAUGUUCAAAAAAUAUCGCCCGUUGCAACGCACGGGCAUUUGUACUAGUCAUUGAUAAUGUCCAAGGACUAUUUUUAUUCAUAAACACAUAGGAAAUAUCAUCAUACAUGAUUGCCUCUAGGGCAUAUCUCCAACAUUCUCGAUCUCAGCUUUCGCUUGAGCACAAGCGAGGUCUAAGCUUGAGGGAGUUGAUACGUUCAUUUUGCAUCAUGUUUUUAUUUUCAUAUUUAUUGCAUUAUGGACUGUUAUUUCACAUUAUGGUACAAUACUUAUGC